GGGAGACCUCAGAACAGGAUAUUUCCUUUUUUGAGAUUCCCUGUCAUACCAGUUAUGGAUAAAUUUGCAUUUUGGAUGGGACAUUACUGGACCAGCCCAUUUUAGGCAGUUCCGUUUCCCCCUGGGUGGGGCAGCAGGCCCUGUGAAGAGGUUCUCAGCCUCAUGACUCCUAAACUCCUGGUACUUGAGCACCGAUCUGCUUUGGAGAACCUGGAGUCCCUUCCUGUGAACCCUGUUAUAUAAUUUCUUUCAGAUUCUGAGACUCCAGCAGGAUGUCUUAUCAACAGUAGCAAUGUAAGCAGCCCUGCCAGCCACCUCCUGUGUGCCGCCUGCCAAAGCGUCCAGAGCCAUGUCCACCCCUGAAGUGCCCUGAGCCCUGCCCACCACCAAAGUGUCCACAGCCCUGCCCACCUCAGCAGUGCCAGCAGAAAUAUCCUCUGGUGACACCUUCCCCACCCUGCCAGCCAAAGUGUCCACCCAAGAGCAAGUAACAGCUUCGGAAUUCAUCAGGACCACGAAAGGAUAGGGAUAAUUGGCUCACCUCGUUCCACAGCUCCACCUGCAUCUUCUCAUCAAAGCCAUCCAGGGAUACACAGGGAGCUUCUUUCCCCUUAGCCUGUGAUCUGCCCAUGAUGAUCCCCGACAGCAAAAUGUUUCCUUUCUGAGGCUGCCAUGCUGCCACUGUCCAGGUGGAGACUGAGCAAAGGAAGUCCUGGGCUGUGCCAGCUCCCAGAGCUUCAGAAGAAAGAGCAGCUCUCUCCCUGGGAACCAUUAGAGAAUUCUGUUGAUGUUUUCUGUGUCUGUCUGUCCCCUGGGCAUGAGCUUCCACCACCUGUGCAGUUGUCACUUUCCUUUCACUCCCUGAAUAAAGAAUCUAUGCAUAUAUA
rnacentral:lncRNA from 1 species